GUUAGUCUGCUCAAAACCUCCUGAAACAAGCCUUCGUUUAUCCGAGCAAUUUGGUAAUAUUGAUUCGCAUCAGCUUUGCCUGGAAAAUAUUCCCUCUACAGACUUCAGAAGCCCCGGGAAAGAAGAAUUGUAUCAAAUGGAUGCUAAUGGAUUCACCCAAAUUGAGGUUACAUUUCAACCGAAAGGUCCACGCUUGGAGGUACCAGUUGGAGCUAGGCCAGAAAGCUUUGGAGGAGAAUAUAAUUGUUUAUUUGGGGACAAACAAACACACUGCUGUACUCCUUAUACACGAGCUGGGCCACUUGAUAAGGAAGCCCCAGAAGAGCAUAUUCGUCAUCCUCUCCCCUGCAAUGGCUCCGGAUCAGCAGGUGUGUAUAGGUUAAGGUUAUGCCUUUGGUUGAGGUGCUUGUGAUGAUGCCUGAGACACAACUACUGGCUUUGGUUCUUCCUCGGAUACAGAUGAUGGGGUUUGAGUAGAAGUGGGAGUAGGCUGAGAGGUUUCUUGAACUGUAGGUUGUGAAUUCGUUGGACCUGUUGGUUGGACCUGAGUGGCUAUGAGAGAUGGAGAAUGAGUAGAAGUGAGAGUAGGCUGAGAGCUUUCUUGAAUUUUAGGUUAUGAAUUUGUAGUACGAGUUGGUUGUACCUUGUACCUGAGUGGUUGUGAGAUAUGGAAAUUGAGUAGAAGUGGGAGUAGGCUGAGAGCUUUCUUGAAUUUUAGGUUGUGAAUUUGUUGUACCUGAGUGGUUUUGAGAGAUGGAGAAGAAGGUUGUGAUGUUGUUCAGUCAGCAGGUUGAGAGGACAAACAAGGUGGAGCCUCAGGCUGGGGGGUCUGUCUGCAAUGCAAAGCUUUGCUAUAUUAAUGAAUGUGAGUUUUGUUUUCUAGCUUUCACCUAUUUCAUGGUAUUAUAGCAGUAAACCUAUGCAAAGCUUUGCUAUAUUAAUGACUUUUUGCUUCUGAUUGUGGUUUUUUUGUUCCGUCACCUCUUUGAGCUAUUUCUUUAAUAGUUGAAGAAUAUGUGUUUAGGUAUAAAGUUUGUCUUGUUUGAGGUUGAGAUGUAGUUGUUGGAAAUUUAGUGUUUGUAUUGUGUACAUAAUUAUGCAUUUUCAAGUUAAAACUAUUAAAUCCAAGGUUAUGUAAUCACAAUGGCUAUUAAAUGUUGGAAAUUAAAUGGGGAUUGAAUUCUAAAUAGAGAAACCUAUAAUUCAUAUCUUGAUAGCAAUGGGAAAUUUUUUUUUUUUUUAUCUUUACAGUCAUCUAUGAAGGUAUAUGCUUACAAUGUACAAAAGACUAUUAACUUAUUGUUCCAUUAAAUAUUCUUCUAUUGCCUUUUAAGAAUUAUAAUAAUUCUUGUGUUAUUGUUGUUACUGGUUGGAAAAUAUAUGUGGCAAGAUAUGGCAUAUAGAAUGGCUUGAUUAGUUGUUCAUUUGCAAUUUGUUCAGAAGUGUCAUGAGUCUCUCAUCUCUCUCUCUCUGUGCCUCUAAUAAAUACGAAUGAAAUAAUGGGAAUUGUGAAGUGCCCAACUGGGUACUCUUUAAAUUCGUUCCUUUCAGUUUUUUUGGCUUUUUUAAUUUAAAAUUGAAUAAAUAAAUAAUGGAAUGAAAAAUUUUGAAAGAAGUCUCGAGGAAGAAAGUAAGGCCUGGUAGAUCUGUGGACAAAACCCUCAUAUCUUCUUUUCUAAUAGUUCACAGAUUCCAUAUUUAUUUAUAUGUGACUUAAUAACAUCUGCAAGAUAGUUUACAAAUCAUGUAAAAAAAUAAUAUCCACUCUAAUCAAAUGUGGACAAAUAUGUUUUCUUUAUGGAAAUCCAGAAUUUAUAUGUCAAGUGCUAUUUAGUGUUUAUCAUUUGAUUUUCUUUUUCUGAGCUUUGGAUAGGAUUUGAUAUGGGUUUUGUAACUUUCUUUCUAUUAACCUCUUAUAAUUCUAUAGUAGAUUUUUCUGAACUUCCUUUUGAAAGUUGCUUGCCCUGUUUCCCUCUCUCUCUUGAUAAAAUAUAAUAUGAAUUUUUAGAGAAGAGCUGCAACUACUCCCUUUCUUUGACUAUUAAGCUGUCCCUUCAAAUGAUGAACAUACCGAUACUUUAGGCUCUGUACAGUUUUUGCUGGUUCUCCACCCAUAUGCAUAGCACCUGUAAUCUAGAAAAGAGUAGCCUUUUUUUAUUUUUGGCCCUUUGCUCUGCAUAAUUGUGUCUCCACUUUUUAGUAUUACUUUGAAUAUGUGAUCUGUGAUAAUGGUGGAGACUUGCUCUGUUGCCUAUACAUGCCAUUGUAUUUUAGAUUCCUGUAGUUGAACUAGGAUAAGCAUGAAAAUAAAUUUUUUUCUUUGAUAAGCAUGUAUUGGAAAGACCAUAUUAAUUAAUAAACAGGCCAUAUUGCCCUCUCUCUCUAUCUCUCAUGUAUACUUUUUGAAUGAAAGUGUUGUGUUUCUUCCCUAUACAUGGCAACAAAGUAACUUUGCUAUGUAUUUUCCAGUUUGUAAUUGACAACCAACUGCUCUCUUGUUUUCUAUCAAAUUCUUACACAAAAUCAAAAAAAAAAAAAAAAAAAAAAAAAAAAAUCAAGAAAAAAGCUUGUUGGACAAUCUCAAAUAUCACUGCUGGGAAUAAAGGUCAAAUACAGGUAUGUGAUUCACUUUCUAUAUGAAUUAACAUCAAGAUUCUUCCACAUGUUAAUUCUGAAUUUCCACAAAGAUAGUGGAAGAGCCUCACACAACAUAAUAUUUUGUAUGUAAACCCACCUUUGGUUUGCAUUUUUUUAGAUUAAUACAGGUUUGCAUUUGAACCUUCUUGUUCCUUUGGAUUGAUUUCCCUAAGACAUUUGUUGUUGGGAAAUUAAUCCUUCUUUUUUUUAAGGCCUUUGAAUGUAUAUAAAUAUAAUACGAUGUAAUGUAACUUAUAGUUUCAAUUGUGUGUGGUACGAAUGAAUGAAAUAAGCUUUAAAUGCAUUAGUUUUGACUAAUUAUAUUAGUAUAUUGCAAAUUGAAUUGAAUAUUUUAAAUAAUAUGGGGAUAUUUAUUUAAUCUUUGAAGUAAAUUAUGAGAAAUAUCAUCUAAUCUUUAAUCAAGAUAUACUUUUAACAUCUUUAAACACUGUUUUUGUUAAGAUUGUUAACAUUUUCAUAGUUAUUUUAUUUAAUUUCAUAUUAAUUAAUUAUUAAAUUAAUUAUGACAUCAUUACGGUCCACCCUUAGUCGGAACUCGAUCAAACCUUAAAAACCUUGAACCUCUUCCUUUUACGGUUCGUUGAACAAUCCAGGUUUCAAAACCAUGGCUAUGGAUAGGCUAUAAAUACUAACAGUUGUGUUCUUGAAUGUGCUUCUCAUUGAAUGGACAACUAGUUUCAAUAUAACUUGCAUUUGGUUCUUCACAAGGCUGCUAACAUGCUAGAUGAAUUUAAUGUUUUAAAGUCUAAUGUGCCAAUUAUAUUGUAAAUUUUUUUUUUUAAUAAAAGUGAAUUACAGGUCUCCAUUAUUCCUUCUCAAGUAAUUCAUAAAUUAAAUAGCAUAAAACUGUCACUCUUGCUUACUUUUAAUAUUUCAAUUAAGAACUCUUAUUUUACAUGUAUCGCAGGCCACAUAUUAUAGAUAACUAGAAUUCUGUACUUUGCCAUGAAACAAAGAGUGGUGUGACCAAUUUCAAUAGUUGGGAAUUGGUGCUACUUCCUGACCUUGUUCUACAUCGGCAAUUACUAUGUUUUGCAUGGUUGUUUAACAAUGCUAUUUGCACAUCAUGGAAAUCUAUUUUUUACUGUAAUUGUGUAUGCUGUAUGUAGAUGUUAUACAUUAGCAUUUAUCACAUCCUUUUUGGGUUUUGCGCAUAUGUUGUUGGCUUCUUAGAAAACUAAUAUCAUGAUACACUUUGCUUCAGGAUGAAAGAAAAACUUAUCAAACAGCUUUAGUUUUGUGACAUUUGCUGAUGAAAUUUCAGCCAAGUAGGCAGAAAGUACAUAGGAUACUUGGGUAGAAGGAGUGUCAGAAUGAAAUAUGAUUAAAUGUUGUACUACUAAUACUUCUGGUAAUCUUAGAAAUGCCUAUUAUUGGCAAUGGCCAUGCGCUUGGGCCAAAUAGGCACCCAUGUGGGUUUGCCCGUAUCAAAUGAAUGAGCCUCAGAAGUUCCUUAUGCAGAGUGGUUUGGGCUACUGUCUAUCAAUAUGGUCUCUGUGUAACUCAAGAGUUCAUGAAGAAGAAAUCAAAACAGAGGAAAGUAUAGCGAAGAGUGUGAGAAAAGAUGUCAAGUUUAGAAUGAUGUUUAAAUGAAGUGGCUGCAACUCUAUCCUAAACAAGUUCUCCAUUCUAAUAGGGGUAUACUUCAGUCCAUCCUUCAUGACUUCUGCCUAAAAGUUUGCUAGUUUCUAGGUUUGUGAUUGGUUUGUUUGCAAAAGCAAGAUAUUGGGUCUGAUUAGCAGCAAAUUCAGUAUGAUGUUGUAGUUCAGUUUGAAGACUCGUGUCUUUGUGUUAGAUUGUGUAGAACUGGGUUGGAAUAAUGUCAACACUGUUUUUAUCUUGAGUAGGGAGUUUAUGUCAGGGUAGAUGCCCUUGUGGUGGAAUAGUUUAAGUCUUAGUGUUUCAA